rnacentral:tRNA from 1 species
GGAAUAUCCUAAUAAAUGAUAAUAUGGUCUGCUUGAAACUCGAAAUCGAGUGAACUGGAGACAGUUCCGUGAGUUCAAAUCUCACUCUCUCCGCCA